UAAGCGAUGGAGGGACGCAGGAAGGUAGCCGAGCCGCGGCGAUGGUAGACCGCGGGUAAGGAUGUAGGGCGAGGUGUAGGCAAAUCCGCACCUCAUAUGCCUGAGAUCUGAUACGGACGCAUUAGCGGAAGUCGGUAAUCCUAUGCUGCCAAGAAAAUCUUCUAGCGAGGUUCGAGCCGCCCGUACCCCAAACCGACUCAGGUGGUUAGGUGGAGAAUACCAAGGCGAUCGAGUGAAUCGUGGUUAAGGAACUCGGCAAAAUACCCCCGUAACUUCGGGAGAAGGGGGGCCCAGAGGGUGACGGAGACUAGCGCUCCUGAGCCUGAACGGCCGCAGAGACCAGGGAGAAGCGACUGUUUACUAAAAACGCAGGUCCGUGCCAAGUCGCAAGACGAUGUAUACGGACUGACGCCUGCCCGGUGCUGGAACGUUAAGGGGACCGGUUAGCCUCACGGCGAAGCUGAGAACUUAAGCGCCAGUAAACGGCGGUGGUAACUAUAACCAUCCUAAGGUAGCGAAAUUCCUUGUCGGGUAAGUUCCGACCUGCACGAAUGGCGUAACGACUUCUCCACUGUCUCAACCACGAACUCGGCGAAAUUGCACUACGAGUAAAGAUGCUCGUUACGCGCAGAAGGACGGAAAGACCCCGGGACCUUUACUACAGCUUGGUAUUGGUGUUCGGAACGGCUUGUGUAGGAUAGGUGGGAGGCUUCGAAGCUGAUACGCCAGUAUCGGUGGAGCCAACGUUGAAAUACCACUCUGGUCGUUCUGGAUGUCUAACCUAGGUCCGUAAUCCGGAUCAGGGACAGUGCCUGGUGGGUAGUUUAACUGGGGCGGUUGCCUCCUAAAAGGUAACGGAGGCGCCCAAAGGUUCCCUCAGCCUGGUUGGCAAUCAGGUUUUGAGUGUAAGUGCACAAGGGAGCUUGACUGUGAGACUGACAAGUCGAACAGGGACGAAAGUCGGGACUAGUGAUCCGGCGGUGGCUUGUGGAAGCGCCGUCGCUCAACGGAUAAAAGGUACCCCGGGGAUAACAGGCUGAUCUUGCCCAAGAGUCCAUAUCGACGGCAUGGUUUGGCACCUCGAUGUCGGCUCGUCGCAUCCUGGGGCUGGAGUAGGUCCCAAGGGUUGGGCUGUUCGCCCAUUAAAGCGGUACGCGAGCUGGGUUUAGAACGUCGUGAGACAGUUCGGUCCCUAUCCUCUGCGCGCGCAGGAAACUUGAGAAGAGCUGUCCCUAGUACGAGAGGACCGGGAUGGACGAACCUCUGGUGUGUCAGUUGUUCUGCCAAGAGCACCGCUGAUUAGCUACGUUCGGAAGUGAUAACCGCUGAAAGCAUCUAAGCGGGAAGCAUGCUUCAAGAUGAGGUUUCCAUC
rnacentral:rRNA from 1 species